rnacentral:lncRNA from 10 species
GUCCUUUUGAGAGUCUUUAAACUAUUUUUAUAAAUUUAUACUUUGGAAAUCAAUUUUAAUUAUAAAUGUAAUUUGUGAGUAAGUUUAAAUGACCAUAAUUUUUCUUUUUAAAGCAGUUGAGGGAUAUAGAGGAGAAAAUUCUUAUAUAUUGGUAGAAGCUCUGAUUAUAGCUAAAGUAAAAAAUAUUUAUUAUGCAUAGGCAAGCUUCCAUUAUCUGUGCAAAAUAAUUCCUUUAUUUGGGCACUGUUCAGAAGGCUUUACUAUUUAACCUCCUAAAAGGGAUGCAAAGAUUAUUCACAAUAAGAUCUAUUUAGGGAUUUUGUCUUCCAUAUUUGUUUUCCAGAUCCUCACAUGCAGACUAGGUUCCAUAAAUAACAAAUAGUUAUUGAAUAUCUGAAUUAAGAGUUUUUAAUUAAAUGAGUAAUGACUACUGCUUUAUAUUAUGAAGUGUCAAUGUAAGGGAAAUUAUGAGUUUUAGAACUAGAAGAGACCAUUGAAAUACUCCAGUUUUCAUUUAGUAAAUGAGGAGCCUAAGUGUUCCAAAGAGGUUAAAAUAAUUUAACUAAGAUCACUCAGCUAGUGAGUUGACAAGGAGUUGAACCUAGUUCUUCUGGUUUUCUUAUUAGCAGUUUCCACUAAGUAGAUGUUUCCCAAUCUUACAUUCCUUUACACACUUAGGAAACAGUAUUUGUAUGGCACAUUGGAGUAAUCUGGAGACCACUUAGCACAAGCCCAUGCGCUCUGGUUGCACUAAGGCCCCACUUUUCUUCCCCAUGAGCUGAGGGGACUCUUUGCAGCAUUCCUAGUACACAAGUUGAGAGGCUCUGCCUUGGUAUACCUUAACUUUAUCAUAUGAGUACUUUCUUCAUUAUUUUUAAAAAUAUUUUUGCAACUUCUCUUUAGAAGUUACCUUCACAGGUUAUAGCACAGUCUUUUUAUGAUUGUUAGAAUAUUGUAAGAGUUCAUGAGAUUAUAUCUAAAAGCACUAAAAGAAAAACCCAAAUCCUUUUCCACAAGAAUGGGAACAGUAACAUGUUAUUAUUAGUCAUCAAGCUGUUCUGAUCAUCAUGGCAUUUAAAAACCUGUCCAUUUCGGCCGGGUGCAGUGGCUCAUGCCUGUAAUCCCAGCGCUUUGGGAGGCUGAGGUGGGUGGAUCACCUGAGGUCAGGAGUUCGAGACCAGCCUGGCCAACAUAACGAAACCCUGCCUCUAGUAAAAAUACAAAAAUUAGCCGAGCGUGGUGGCACGUGCCUGUAAUCCCAGCUACUCGGGAGGCUGAGGCAGGAGAAUUAUUUGAACCUGGGAGGCAGAGGUUGCAAUGAGCUGAGAUCACACCAUUGCACUCCAGCCUGGGUGGCAGAGCAAG